rnacentral:lncRNA from 1 species
CCCUCAGCGGCCGUCACCCUGGUAACGGCGUCUAAAGGGCACAGUGGAGGCUGGCAAAGGUUCCAUUGUUAUAGGAAAAGUGAAACUAGUGACCGCGCCCGGGGUUCCCUGGAGAACACACGGACAUGAUCACAGUAGCAAAAUGGGCCUCACCCCGACUCCUCUUCUGCCCCCACCCCACCCACAAAGCAAAGGUUACCCCUUCCUGGUGGAUGUGGGGCAACAGGUGCCGGGUGCCCAUCCAGGACUUUGCGGAGUCCCCUGAGGGACACGUGGUGCUGCCUGCCACAGAUUCGUCGGAUUCUACCGAUGCUUUCAGGAGGCUGAUUGAACAGAGAACAAGACUGGAGGGGCAAAUAAGAGGCUUUUAAACGUGGGUACGUUUUGUUUGCCACUUUACAUAAAAUUGGACAAUGAAUUACAACAAGCAGAUGGAUAUCAUCAACGCCACCGCCUUACCAUUGAUACCAGUGGCUGAGCAGCGGGCGGUCUCCCUCAGUGUACAGAAGGCAACGGAAUGUGCUAUGAGGAAGACUUUAGAGGACCUUUUAUCCAGUAUCCUUCCAGGGGAGGUGCUGAAAACCAGACCAGAUGCACCUAAUUGAGUCAGGCCUCAGAGGCCUAAUUCGUGCUUACGUCUAUAAUACAAGUUACUUACUAGCACAGUUCAUAUGCACUCAUUAAUUUUUUUCAAAUACUUAAACUUAUUCUUUAAAAGAAUGUGAGACUGUAUAGGAUUGAUUUGAGUUGUUUUUGUUUGUUUUGUUUUAUUUUUGUGGCACUAGGGAUGAAACCCAGGGCCUCUCACAUGCUAGGCAAGUGCUCUACCACUAAGCUACCUCCCCAGCCUGACUUAUUUUGUUGCUGAUAUAAUCAGAGAGUCAAAGGAAGAAGCCCUGGAUGUAUUUGCUGAAAGAAUAAAGCAGAAGUGAGUUUGGGACCUAGCUUUCUGUCUUUACUCUGGUUGACCUCGCUUCUCCUCCCCUGCCAGCCCUUCUGCCCAGGCCCUCUGUUUGUCCCUUCUGAUACCAUCUAGGGUCUUCCCGCAUCUGCCUUCCUGGUCCCAUCUUCACUGAUCCUUGUCUCCCUUCUGAAUCACACCCCAGAAUCACAGAACCCCAUCUCUGGAGCCCUGCCAGCCCAUCUAGCAAACAGCCCUCUCAGGUUAUAAAUAACCAGGGACUGUUCCCAUCAAGUCAUGCUGCCACCAGGCAAAGUGUUCGGACCACUCUGCGUCCCGCGACUUCCUCGCCUCUCUGAAACCCUUCUCAUGAUUCGGUGAAGCAUGAUUCCAUCUGAAUCUGCUUCAGGGUCUCAUUUUGCUAGGCCCGUUUCUAAUGCCCCCUCUUGCUUCUUAAUCCUGCACUCAUCUCAGCCUCACUGAUGCAUUUCCCUUUCUCUGAUUUGUCAUGUCCCUUCUUGGUGUUCUCAUUUUCUCAAGUGUCCUCUGAUUGGUGAGGCCACUUGAGGGUAAUGGAAGGAAGAGUGAACCCUGUUCUCUGUGAAAGGAGUGAGAAGAGAUGGGAUUAUGGGGCUUUUACCAAGGUUGUAUCCUAAACCAGCUGAGGCUCAGACAGAAAGAAAUGCAGAAGUCAAGAGGGCAUCCAGAGGGCCAUCGAAAUGAGCAUAUUUUAACAGUGGUAAACAAGGUCACAAUAGCCUUUGACCUAACCAUCCCUCACCUUAAAAAUCUCUCUUGAAGAACUAUUCCAGAGUGAAAUAAACCAGACACACAAGCUUAAAUACCAUAUGGCAUCUCUCAUUUGAGUGAGGCAAAGUACAAACAAAGAAAAUAAUAAAGGAUGGAUAGAAGGGGGACAAGAGGAUAGAUCUCUUGGAAUAGGGAAGGAAUCUAAGAGAACAAGGUUGAGGAGAGAAGAGGAGGGGAAUGGGAAAUAAGUAGAAUAGAGAUAUACCAUGUACAGGAACAUAAUAACCUCAAUGAAUAUAAACAUAUGCCAUAACAUGAGCUAAGAUUAAUAUUAUCAACAAGAAUGAUAAUCAGCAUAGGGGAAUUAGAGGAGGAAGGAGGGAGGGAGGAGGAAAGGGGGAAGGGGAUGAAAAAAAAGAAACAAGCUGUAUUAUGUACAUGUACCCACUUCCCAAGACGACUGUAAACUGCAUGUACUCUAAACAUGUACUAAUAAAAUAUUUUUGAAAAGAAAUAUUCCAAAAUAUGAAACAGCUCUCUGCAUGAGCCUGUGUACCCAAGCAUUGUUUAAAGUUACAGGAAGCUGUAAGCAGCUUAAAUAUUCUCUAGCCAAGGGGUAGCUGAGUGUAUUAAGGUGCACCCUUUAAAUAGAUUAGUAUAAUCCUAUUGAAAGUAAUUAUUAAGAUUAUUUAGCCAUAUGGAAAAUGCUCACAAUAAUGGUGGAAGUCAGAGCAGUAAAACAGGCAUCUUCUGAGGUUAUAAUUAUGUUGAAGGGGGGUAGAGGAGAGCAAGAGGGAAUAUAAAAAGAAUUAAGAUGUGUUAUGUACAUGUACCAACUCUUCACGAUGAAAGGGAUCAUUAUGUACUACAAAUACGUACAAAUAAAAAUUUAAAAAAAGAAAGUGGCAAGAAUGAUGGGAUAAGUGUGUUUGAUGUUUUGAAUGGGAUUGAUGGCAAUGUGUCUUUUACUGUAAAAAAAAGUUUUUAAAAUUAAAAAAAAAAGAUAUCAGAAGGAAAUUUCUCUAGAUCCUAAUAGAGUUUUUAGCAUGAG